AGGGAAAGUUGCAAAGAACUUUGAAGAGAGAGUUCAAGAGAACGUGAAAUCGCUGGAGUGGAAACGGAGAGAGUUGACGUAGUCGGGUAACUAAGUUUACCAAAAUCGCUUAAUUGUGAUAGCGGUGGAUGUACGUUACCUAUGACUGCGCUGACAGCACUGGUUAUGCGUUUCGAACCGUUCACGUUGCCCACUUCGGUGGUGUCUUGUCUACGGGUAGAUUUGUCAUCACUAGUGUUUUAUCCUGCAUGCAGGGUGUCAGUGUGAAAGUCGACCACCUCUCCGACCCGUCUUGAAACACGGACCGAGGAGUGUAACUUGUACGCGAGUCAAAGGGUGGAAAACCCCAUGGCGAAAUGAAAGUAAAGGUCGGUUAACCGACUGACAUGGGAUCCGCUUUUCGAAGCGGCGCACCAUGGCCCUGUCUCGUCUGCUUGCAGAUGGGCAGUGGUAGAGCGUACAGGUUGCGACCCGAAAGAUGGUGAACUAUGCUUGAGCAGGACGAAGUCAGAGGAAACUCUGAUGGAAGUCCGUAUCGGUUCUGACGUGCAAAUCGAUCGAUAGACUUGAGUAUAGGGGCGAAAGACUAAUCGAACCAUCUAGUAGCUG
rnacentral:rRNA from 1 species